CGCUCUUUCCUCUUUGUAUGCCUGAGAUGGUUGAGCCAUGGUCGGAAUCUUUCUGCCGGGGUGAUCCCCCAUGGCAGAUCAGCAAUUUGGGGUUUGUAAACAGGGGUGGGAGUUGUUCUGCAAAAUUGUGCUUAGUCACGACUGACACUGAGGAGAGCUGGGAGUUGUUCUGCAACUAGCUUCUACUCAUGUGUUUGAUUAAGUUCCUGAAAGAUAUGGUGGGAACCAUCUUUGGUCAGAAGUUGUAAAUCUGGGCUUCUACUUUUGUACCGCAGAGGAGGAGCCAAGAACAAGUCUGGCAGAUCGCUACAACAUGGAGGUUCAGAUACUCCUAAAUUUUCAUCAGGAGGUUCGGUUCUCAUUAGCAAUUGUGACACUGAUUACGCUCCUGGAGAAAAAGAAACAGAUGGGGCUCAAAGAAAACGAGAUUGAUCCUCAAAUACUAGUAAUAGUGACUGUGGGGACAAUUUGGAAAAAAUACUAUUCCAACCGCUGAGAUGAAGCAACACCAGAAGCUAAGGCGCUGUGACUCUUGGUUAAUUGUUUCUCAGAAACUGUUGCAUCUUCUGCUCUUAAAGACUAUGGAAAACAGAACAACUCAUCAAGUCAUGGUCACAUAAUCUUAGGAACUAAAGAAAAAAUAAGGGGAACACAGAAGUCUCGUAUUGGGUCUCCGCAAUGGCCAGUAAAGAGCCUUUUGAUUGUGAGAGUGAUGACGAUUCUACGUCCAUUUUCAGUUCUGAUGAAAAUGAGAGGUUAAAGCAUGAGAGGUAAUCAAGUUACAUAUACGUAAAUAUAUAUUAUAUACAUGUCUGCUUAGUGCAUUUGAAAAGGUUCCUGAAGUUUGAUUACAAACUGCCUUUUCUGUAUUUGGGAUCAGUUCUGUCAUGCUUCUCUUAAUACUCAUGGUAUCGAUUUAGGUGGGAUUAUUAAUCGUCCAUAUGGGGUUUGGUCAUUUCUGUUGCAUGUCAUUAUCAGAUAGUGGAGGGUAGAAUCAGUUUUUAACAGGUUCCAUUUUUUAUCCCAAGUAUGGAAUGAGUUAGAGUAGUAUUUAUUUCUUCAGUUGGUAAGUUUUCUGAUGGUAGUAGCACAUUGACAUAUCUAAUAACCCAAAGAGAUUCAAAGAGCUCAUUCUGAUGGAAUGAGUUACAGAUCAUUAAAUUAUUUGAGGCGUAUCCACCGCAGUCUCAACAACCAACUUUGGUUAGAAUGUCAAUUUUUUAGCAACCUCAUGAGCAGUGCCAUGAGCUCUUCUAGAUACAUGGGAAAAACCAGAAGCUUUAUAAAGAGCUAACAGAGACCCCUCACCUCCUCUACCACUACUCCUGCAAAACAUCCCUCAUUGCUAUUCACCAUACUCACAACUUCCAAACAAAUCCGAUUUAACCAUAAAAUAGGACCAGCCAUUCUGUUUUGCAAUAUCCAACCCAAUAACACAGCAUGCAGCUCAGCUGCACAAAUAUGCAGCCUCCCACCAAGCCUCUCACCUACUGCCAUAAUUAAAUUUCCCAAACUAUCUCUCACCACAAUUCCAAUACCCCCAUUCAAACCAUCACUAGAAACAGGUGCAUCACAAUUAAUUUCAAACAACCUGAAUAGGGAGGCCUUCACUGCUCACAACUAGCAUUCCGCCUGGCUGCUCCAUCACUUCUUUUUGGUGCACCAUGAACAGACAACAAACUGUCCCACAGUAAUAGGCCAUGAGCAAAUAACACCUCAGGCAGCGUAGGAUGAUCUCCAUGUAGCCUG